rnacentral:rRNA from 1 species
CUGAGAGUUUGAUCCUGGCUCAGAACGAACGCUGGCGGCAGGCUUAACACAUGCAAGUCGAACGAUAUAGUGGCAGACGGGUGAGUAACGCGUGGAAACGUGCCUUUCACUACGGAAUAGCUUUUGGAAACGAAAGGUAAUACCGUAUACGCCCUCCGGGGGAAAGAUUUAUCGGUGAAAGAUCGGUCCGCGUUAGAUUAGCUAGUUGGUGAGGUAAC